GUAGUCUCGCACAGAUGCAUAUCAAUAAGCGGAGGAAAAGAAACUAACAAGGAUUCCCCUAGUAACGGCGAGUGAAGCGGGAAGAGCUCAAAUUUGAAAUCUUAAAGGGUUUCCCUUUACGAAUUGUAGUUUAAAGAAGUGUUUUCUGUUGAGGUUUUGGUAAAAGUUCUUUGGAAUAGGACAUCAUAGAGGGUGAGAAUCCCGUAUUUGACCUUUACUUUCAACUUUGUGAUACACUUUCAAAGAGUCGGAUUGUUUGGGAAUGCAGUCCAAAAUGGGUGGUAAAUUUCAUCUAAAGCUAAAUAUUGGCGAGAGACCGAUAGCGAACAAGUACCGUGAGGGAAAGACGAAAAGAACUUUGAAAAGAGAGUUAAACAGUACGUGAAAUUGUCAAAAGGGAAGCGUUUGACACCAGUGUUGUUUUUCUGAAAAUCAAUUAAAGAACUGUUUAUGCUAAGCUGUUUAGACUUUAUCAGCUAUAACUGUUUAGUUUUGAGCUUUUCUUUAAUGCACUUUUCAGUUAACAAGUCAACAUCAAUUUCUUUUGCUGUAAAAAAGCUUGAGGAAGGUGGCUUGAGAUUCGUCUUAAGUGUUUAUAGCCUCUUGCCUAUGCAGUCGGAGAGAUUGAGGUCUGCAGCGUAGAUCCUUCGGGGCUAAAUGCAUUUGUGCUAAGUUAUAGCAUUUCAUAGACAACUUGUUGACUAUGAUUUGUCUUGUAGCUUACUCGCCUAUGUUAUUUUACCUACGCUUAGGAUGUUGACAGCAGUAUAGACUGU
rnacentral:rRNA from 1 species